GACGAACGCUGGCGGCGUGCCUAAUACAUGCAAGUCGAACGCUUCUUUCCUCCCGAGUGCUUGCACUCAAUUGGAAAGAGGAGUGGCGGACGGGUGAGUAACACGUGGGUAACCUACCCAUCAGAGGGGGAUAACACUUGGAAACAGGUGCUAAUACCGCAUAACAGUUUAUGCCGCUUGGCAUAAGAGUGAAAGGCGCUUUCGGGUGUCGUUGAUGGAUGGACCCGCGGUGCAUUAGCUAGUUGGUGAGGUAACGGCUCACCAAGGCCACGAUGCAUAGCCGACCUGAGAGGGUGAUCGGCCACACUGGGACUGAGACACGGCCCAGACUCCUACGGGAGGCAGCAGUAGGGAAUCUUCGGCAAUGGACGAAAGUCUGACCGAGCAACGCCGCGUGAGUGAAGAAGGUUUUCGGAUCGUAAAACUCUGUUGUUAGAGAAGAAUAAGGACGUUAGUAACUGAACGUCCCCUGACGGUAUCUAACCAGAAAGCCACGGCUAACUACGUG
rnacentral:rRNA from 1 species